rnacentral:rRNA from 1 species
GAUGAACGCUAGCGGCAGGCCUAACACAUGCAAGUCGAGGGGUAGCAGGAUUAAGCUUGCUUAAUUGCUGACGACCGGCGCACGGGUGCGUAACGCGUAUGCAACCUACCUUAUACUGGGGUAUAGCCCGGAGAAAUUCGGAUUAAUCCCCCAUAGUACUAAUGAAUCGAAUGGUUUAUUAGUUAAAGCAUUGCGGUAUAAGAUGGGCAUGCGUCCUACUAGCUAGAUGGUUAGGUAACGGCUCACCAUGGCUACGAUAGGUAGGGGGCCUGAGAGGGUGGUCCCCCACACUGGUACUGAGACACGGACCAGACUCCUACGGGAGGCAGCAGUGAGGAAUAUUGGUCAAUGGGCGCAAGCCUGAACCAGCCAUGCCGCGUGCAGGAAGAAUGCCCUAUGGGUUGUAAACUGCUUUUGUUUGGGAAUAAACCUCUUUACGUGUAGAGAGCUGAAGGUACCAAAUGAAUAAGCACCGGCUAACUCCGUGCCAGCAGCCGCAGUAA